rnacentral:rRNA from 1 species
AGAAUCAACGCUGGCGGCGUGCCUCAGACAUGCAAGUCGAACGCGAAAGUCCCCUUCGGGGGAUGAUUAGAGUGGCGCACGGGUGAGUAACACGUAGGUAAUCUACCUUCGAGUGGGGAAUAACUCAGGGAAACUUGAGCUAAUACCGCAUAAUGCAGCGGCACCACAUGGUGACAGUUGUUAAAGCAUUUAUGCGCUUGAAGAGGAGCCUGCGCAGAUUAGCUAGUUGGUAAAGUAAUGGCUUACCAAGGCUACGAUCU